AUUAGCAUAUCAUUAAGCGGAGGAAAAGAAACUAACAAGGAUUCCCCCAGUAACGGCGAGUGAAGCGGGAAGAGCUCAAGCUUAAAAUCUCCAUGCUUAGCAUGGCGAAUUGUAGUCUAUUGAGGCUGUUGUCAGCAUAGCGAUCUGGGACAAGUCCCUUGGAAAAGGGCAGCAUGGAGGGUGAUACUCCCGUCUCUGCUCAGAUUGUCUGUGUGUACGAUACGCUUUCUUUGAGUCGAGUUGUUUGGGAAUACAGCUCAAAGUAGGUGGUAAAUUCCAUCUAAAGCUAAAUAUUGGUGCGAGACCGAUAGCGAACAAGUACCGUGAGGGAAAGAUGAAAAGAACUUUGAAAAGAGAGUUAAAGAGUACCUGAAACUGUUGAAAGGGAACCGUAUCGUUUCCAGUGUUGUAUCCUGUGCAUAUUUCAUUAGCGGAGCAAUUUGCUGGUGCCCUGUGCAUGGGUGUGACGUCAGAGUCAGUUUGUAUGCUGCGGGAGAUGGUCAGUGAGGAGGUGCGUCACUUCGGUGAAAGUUAUAUCUCGCUGUCUAGUAGCCGUGGUUGAGACUGAGGUGCCUACAACAUGCCUUGGGGUUCAGGGUCGUCUCGUUUUGGUAACUGCUUGGAUAGCUUGCUAUGUUUGUGGUAUAUCGAGGCGAUUGAUGACGUUGAAAACCUCUGCUGUUCGGGACUCUGGCGAAAUGGAGCGA
rnacentral:rRNA from 2 species